GAUGAACGCUGGCGGCGUGCCUAACACAUGCAAGUCGAGCGAACCCUUCGGGGUGAGCGGCGGACGGGUGAGUAACGCGUGGGUAACCUGCCCUAUACACACGGAUAACGUACCGAAAGGUACGCUAAUACGGGAUAAAGUUGUUGGAUGGCAUCUUCUAACAAUCAAAGCUCCGGCGGUAUAGGAUGGACCCGCGUCUGAUUAGCUAGUUGGUGAGGUAGUGGCUUACCAAGGCGACGAUCAGUAGCCGACCUGAGAGGGUGAUCGGCCACACUGGAACUGAGACACGGUCCAGACUCCUACGGGAGGCAGCAGUGGGGAAUAUUACACAAUGGGCGAAAGCCUGAUGCAGCAACGCCGCGUGAGCGAUGAAGGUCUUCGGAUCGUAAAGCUCUGUCCUCAAGGAAGAUAAUGACGGUACUUGAGGAGGAAGCCCCGGCUAACUACGUGCCAGCAGCCGCGGUAA
rnacentral:rRNA from 1 species